rnacentral:lncRNA from 1 species
CAGACUUCAAACACGGCUCCUGCCGGCUGGGCCUGGAGCCCUGCUCCGAAAAAGGAAAUGACUUCAGCCCCUGCUGCAAGGGCUGCAGCGAGAGGCUCAUCUGCAGCUGCAAUUCCUGCAUAAUCUCCAGAGGAGUGAGGGUAGGGUUUAAGAAGAAAUCUCUGCAGUAACACAGGGAGAAACACAACCUGAUAACUCCUGACAGAUUGAUGGCUUCCUCCUUCACCUCAAUCUUUAUAGAUUAGCACGUCCAUUUCCUUUUCAUGGAUAUGUUUGUUAGCACUGCAUGAUCUAGCCUAAUCUGUGUGGGAAGUUAUUUAUCCAAGGGCUGUGGGGCAUUUAUACCGUUCACUUGUCACCCAGAAUAAUGGAGAGGACAGGUAAGAUAAUUCCAGCUGUAUUAAGGGCUGAGAGAUGACUGUUUGUGUUUUGGUAAUGGGACGCUCAGAGUGAAGGAUCUGAAAUGGUCUUGUAACAUAUUUCCUGAAAGCACCCAUUUUAAAUGGAUUUCAUUCCUUUUAUUCCCCUGUUUCAUGAGGGUGCCUGCGGUUGCUCUGGGAGAAGGAGACAUCAAUUGCCACGUAGGGGUGGCCCAAGGACUUGUGAGGAAAGAUGCACCAAAGGAGCCUUUCCUGCCGUCCUGCUGCUUCGCCAGAUGUUCUCCAUUUGCUGCCUGUGCAGUGAUUUCUCCUCUCUAGGCAUCCUGGAACUGCCUUCAUCUCGCUGAUUUCACAGCACUCCCACGGCAUCAAGAGCACUUUGAAUUCUGCUCCCGUCCUCCAGAGCUCACAAUCACUGCCAGCCUCCUGUCACCCACGAGUGCCAUCAGCCUCUCCUCUGGGCUGGAGCAGGAGCUCCCCGAGUCCCCACCAGCCUCUCGUCUUCCAGGGGACCCCGGUGGCCAGGGCUGGCGAGGUUCAGGGAUUCGUUGUGACCCUGUGAGGUUUCCCUCAGACUGUGCUUUCGGAGUUUCCCUGGCAGUGUGUUUGAGGAGCACCGUGACACGCCUUGGUGGUGGCUCACACGCCCUUGGUGGUGGCCAUUUGCCCCCCAGGACCUUCUCUCCCCACACUUCCCUGACCAAGCCCUCCUUAAAUUUGCAUUUUAGUUUUUAUUAUUUAUUCUCGAGACAUUUAUAAACCUCUGCUGGCUCUGUCUCCUGGGCCACCAUCUAAUCUUCCAGGUGAUGACAACUUGAUUGGUGAAUAAUAGAUUCCAGUCUCUCCCCAGCUGCUGAAUGGAGCUAUAAUUUCUAAAUGCAUCCUUGAAGAAGGAGCAGAGCUUUUCCUUCUCCAGGGGUUGGUUUUUAAUCAGCCCAGUUGUCUUUUCAGUGUUGAAAACUUCUUUUUGUUGUAAUAUGCAAAAAAACCCAAACCUGGAAAUGAACCAUUUUUCUUGUAUUAGUGUGAAGAUUAGGGCCCCAAUGUUUUGGAUGCUGCAGAAAUCCUAUAAGUGAUCAUCUGCUCUGGAAAACUUUCAUAUUAAGCAGGCAAGGUAAGCAACUGAAAAGACUGAAAACAGACACCAGGGGAUUGAAUGAAUUGCUGAGGCAUAGAUCAGUGUCACACUGGAGAUUAAAAGUCAGUCUCUCUGAAACCCAGAACAAAACUUUCCUGUUGCUCUGAUCGCUUUUUUUGAUGGGCUGUGGAAAAUACAGAAAAAGGAAACUGGUCCCUUGAAAACAUUCCAGGUUGGAGAAUGAUAUGGAAUGGGAUGGGCUGUCCAG